rnacentral:tRNA from 1 species
GGGGCAUUAGCUCAUCAGGUAGAGCGUUUCGUUCGCAACGAAGAGGUAGGGAGUUCGAGUCUCCUAUGCUCCA